rnacentral:misc_RNA from 1 species
AACGCACCUUGCGCCCUUUGGCCAUUCCGAAGGGCAUGCCUGUUUGAGUAUCAUGAACACCUCAACUCUCAUGGCUCGCCAUGAUGAGCUUGGACUUUGGGGGUCUUGCUGGCCUGUGGUCGGCUCCUCUCAAAUGGAUCAGCUUGCCAGUGUUUGGUGGCAUCACAGGUGUGAUAACUAUCUGCGCUUGUGGUUUUCCAUCAGAUAACCUUCAGUGAUGGAGGUUCGCUGGAGCUCAUAAACGUCUUCCCUAAGCGGGGACAGCCCUUUGAAUGUUUGAUCUCAAAUCAGGUAGGACUACCCGCUGAACUUAA